UACGAGGGGGGCGAGCGUUGUUCGGAAUUAUUGGGCGUAAAGAGCGUGUAGGCGGUUUGGUAGGUCCGCUGUGAAAACUCGAGCUCAACCUCGAGACGCCGGUGGAAACCAUCAGACUAGAGUCCGGAAGAGGAGAGUGGAAUUCCUGGUGUAGCGGUGAAAUGCGCAGAUAUCAGGAAGAACACCCGUGGCUAAGGCGGCUCUCUAGUACGGUACUGACGCUGAGACGCGAAAGCGUGGGGAGCGAACAGG
rnacentral:rRNA from 1 species